UGAUCCUGGCUCAGGACGAACGCUGGCGGCGUGCCUAACACAUGCAAGUCGAACGGAGAAUUUCAAUAAGCUUGCUUAGAGAAAUUUUUAGUGGCGGACGGGUGAGUAACGCGUGGGUAACCUACCCAUAAACCCGGGACAACCCUUGGAAACGAGGGCUAAUACCGGAUAAACUUAAGACUUGGCAUCAAGUCUUAAGAAAAGGUGGCCUCUGAAGAUGCUACCGAUUAUGGAUGGACCCGCGUCUGAUUAGCUAGUUGGUGGGGUAAAGGCCUACCAAGGCGACGAUCAGUAGCCGGCCUGAGAGGGUGAACGGCCACACUGGGACUGAGACACGGCCCAGACUCCUACGGGAGGCAGCAGUGGGGAAUCUUCCGCAA
rnacentral:rRNA from 1 species